CUUCGGACUCAUUACAAGGUGCUGCAUGGUUGUCGUCAGCUCGUGCCGUGAGGUGUCAGGUUAAGUCCUAUAACGAGCGCAACCCCUAUCGUUAGUUGCCAGCGGGUCAUGCCGGGAACUCUAGCGAAACUGCCGGUGCAAACCGAGAGGAAGGUGGGGAUGACGUCAAAUCAUCACGGCCCUUACGUCCUGGGCCACACACGUGCUACAAUGGCCGGUACAGAGAGCAGCCACUACGCGAGUAGGAGCGAAUCUACAAAACCGGUCUCAGUUCGGAUCGCAGUCUGCAACUCGACUGCGUGAAGCUGGAAUCGCUAGUAAUCGCAUAUCAGCCAUGAUGCGGUGAAUACGUUCCCGGGCCUUGUACACACCGCCCGUCAAGCCAUGGAAGCUGGGGGUACCUGAAGUCGGUGACCGAAAGGAGCUGCCUAGGGUAAAACUAGUGACUGGGGCUAAGUCGUAACAAGGUAGCC
rnacentral:rRNA from 1 species